UACAGAGGGUGCGAGCGUUGUCCGGAAUCACUGGGCGUAAAGGGCGCGUAGGUGGCGACCCAAGUCCAUGGUGAAAGCUCGAUGCUCAACAUCGAGUCGGCCACGGAUACUGGGUUGCUGGAGCACUGUAGAGGCAGAUGGAAUUCCGGGUGUAGCGGUGGAAUGCGUAGAGAUCCGGAAGAACACCGGUGGCGAAGGCGGUCUGCUGGGCAGUUGCUGACACUGAGGCGCGACAGCGUGGGGAGCAAACAGG
rnacentral:rRNA from 1 species